rnacentral:rRNA from 1 species
GAGGCAGCAGUGGGGAAUAUUGCGCAAUGGGCGAAAGCCUGACGCAGCGACGCCGCGUGGUGGAUGAAGGCCUUCGGGUUGUAAACCCCUUUCAGCAGGGACGAAGCGAAAGUGACGGUACCUGCAGAAGAAGCGCCGGCUAACUACGUGCCAGCAGCCGCGGUAACACGUAGGGCGCAAGCGUUGUCCGGAAUUAUUGGGCGUAAAGAGCUCGUAGGCGGUCUGUUGCGUCCGCUGUGAAAUCUCGGGGCUUAACCCCGAGCCUGCAGUGGAUACGGCCAGACUAGAGGUAGGUAGGGGAGAAUGGAAUUCCCGGUGUAGCGGUGAAAUGCGCAGAUAUCGGGAGGAACACCGGUGGCGAAGGCGGUUCUCUGGGCCUUACCUGACGCUGAGGAGCGAAAGCGUGGGGAGCGAACAGGAUUAGAUACCCUGGUAGUCCACGCCGUAAACGAUGGGCGCUAGGUGUGGGAUCGUUCCACGGAUUCCGUGCCGCAGCUAACGU